GCAUCCAUAGUUCAGUGGUAGAACACCAGCUUCCCAAGCUGGUUAUACGGGUUCGAUUCCCGCUGGGUGCUCCA
rnacentral:tRNA from 1 species